AAGUUUUUUGAAGGCCAUUUGUAUACUGACAGAAUUGAAAGCAUUUUGCUUUCUCAUGCGAUUAUUACAAUAAUGAAUGAAUGAUCGUUGAUUCAACAUAAAAUAUUAUCGUUGCAAAAACAGUAGUAUCUUUCUUUUUUAUUUUUCAUUACAAUCUUUAAUUUUUGAUAAAAUUAAAAAAAUAUUUGUUUAAAUAAACCCAUUUCAAGAAAGCAUCAAGCCGGCCACAAGAUAAAAGUCUGCGGGCUGCAGGUGGCCCAUG